rnacentral:rRNA from 1 species
CGAUUGCGAAGNCAGCUUGCUGGACUGUAACUGACGCUGAGGCACGAAAGCGUGGGGAUCAAACNGGAUUAGAUACCCUGGUANNNCNCGCCGUAAACGAUGAAUGCUAGCUGUUAGCGAUAUACUGUUAGCGGCACAGAGAAAUCGUUAAGCAUUCCACCUGGGGAGUACGCCGGCAACGGUGAAACUCAAAGGAAUUGACGGGGGCCCGCACAAGCGGAGGAACAUGUGGUUUAAUUCGAUGAUACGCGAGGAACCUUACCUGGGCUUAAAUUGCAGUGGAAUAACGUGGAAACAUGUUAGCCUUCGGGCCGCUGUGAAGGUGCUGCAUGGUUGUCGUCAGCUCGUGCCGUGAGGUGUCGGCUUAAGUGCCAUAACGAGCGCAACCCUCAUCGAUAGUUACUAACAGGUUAAGCUGAGGACUCUAUCGAGACUGCCGACGUAAGUCGUGAGGAAGGUGGGGAUGACGUCAAAUCAGCACGGCCCUUACGUCCAGGGCUACACACGUGUUACAAUGGGGGGUACAAAGGGCAACUACCUGGCGACAGGAUGCUAAUCUCAAAAACCUCUCUCAGUUCGGAUUGGAGUCUGCAACCCGACUCCAUGAAGCUGGAUUCGCUAGUAAUCGCGCAUCAGCCACGGCGCGGUGAAUACGUUCCCGGGCCUUGUACACACCGCCCGUCAAGCCAUGGGAGCCGGGGGGACCUGAAGUAUGCAACCGUAAGGAGCGUCCUAGGGUAAAACUGGUGACUGGGGCU